CUGUUGCGGAAGGUGAUGGAUUUAUAAGGUGAAAGCUGUUGGGAGUGAUGAAAGGCUGUGCUUGUAGCUUAGAGAUAAACACGUGGAAGGAAAAUAUGCAAGUAUGCAGAUGGAGUGGAUGUUUGGACUAAUCCAGGUUCUGUGGGUUUUGCUUGUGAUGGAAUUUGGGGUUAGCAGUCCUGACACCAUUAAAUCCCUUUUUAUCUCUUCCUCUCUUUGUUAUAAUUUGCAUUGAAUUUGCAGCACCAUACUGUCAAAGUGUGGGGCCAAAUUCAGCUGCUGCCGGAGGCACAAAGGAGAUCUUUAAGCCACCAAACACUUGAAUCGUGGUCAUCCUCAUCUCAGGACAAGCAUUUCUCACCUCGGAGGUGAUGCUAUAGAGACAUUUGGCAACACUGCAAAGUCUACCGUCCUGUCCUUGCGCUUCUAAAAUAUCACUGGUCCACACCCAAACAGAGGAGCCAGUUGCAAAGAAGGCUGCCAGCGUAACUGUCACCACAUAGCUACAUAGCUAUAGCCUUUUGUGCCACUGCUUCGAGGAGAAGGGGAUUUUGAGCUUCCCGUAAGCCUUUCUUAAGGUACUGCUCAACUGCAAGGAAAGAAAAGUGCUCCCUCGUGCUGAUAGUUAACACUGGAGAUGGUGUGUUAAUCCUGAGAAAUCAAUGUUCCUGAUUUAGCUGGGCAUUGCUUUACAUGCCCAAGCACCCUUAUGUGUAUCCUCACUGAAGGUGCUGGGUACAGCUCUUUAUCCCACUCCUGUGUGCCUGCAGGGUGUUGCUCAGUUUAUAGCAGUGUAACUGUAUCAUUUCAGGUUGUGUCUCAGGCAGAGAGCUGUAUUCAUGGGAUGCUGUACCUGGUUUGGAGGUUGGAGUAAGCAGAACCAGCACUGGGGCUUGGGAGGGGUUGCACGAGGCCUUCCCUGGGAUUCAGCACUACUUGUGUGGAGUGCUGCUGACUUUAGAUACUACCCUUUCAUGAGUUCACUGAGCAGAAAAGUCAUUUCAAGUUCCAAAGAAGCAAGAAAUAACUCAGCUGUGAGCAAUAUUUAAGCACGUGGCCAUGGCUGCGCUGUCAAAGCCAGCUCUUAAACUGCUUCAGAGAGUUUCUUCAUCAGAAGAGUUCAGCUGGUACUUCGACAAGUGGGGCUCAGCCCCCAUGAUGAGGUAUGGGGCUGAGCAGUGCACGAUGAAGUGCGAUGGGGUUUGGGGGGAACUGGUGUGUACCGAGUCCAGGUUAUUGCUUUUAGCCUCCCUGCUCCAUAACGGAGUGUAGUGAAGAGCAUCUGAGCCAGAAUCUGCCCUGAUUUGCAGUAGGAUAAUGCUGCGGAUUUAAAGGGAGCUAUCUGGGAUUUACAGGGCUUUCUAUAAGUAGGAUCAGGAAUUGUAGCCAUAAUCCUGUGCAAAUGUAUGGGUGUGAGUGCAGACGUGCGCAUCAGCAUCACUAAUGCAAACAAACACAGCCAUAACAGCAACAGAACACAUAAUAACAGUGAGUUGCAUUACAGGGUUAUCAUAUGGUUCAAGCCAGGCUCAUAAAUAUCCUGUGAUGGAUAAUCCAGCUGUAACCCUAUAGCGUGUGCCUGACUCUUCUGACACCUACUGUCAUGAGACAAAUCUGUCUCCUUCCAUUUUGGUAGUUGCUGCUUGAAAACAAUCCACAUCUUUUUCAUGUAAUUCUUGAUCUGUUUGGUUUCCUGGGUUUAUGUGGAAUACUUGCAAGGUCUAAGCUAAAGCUCUAGCCUGGAAAUGUUACAGCUUCAUAGUACCAAAGAGAUAGCAAUGUCCAGUGAUGCUGUGAGUCCAGGGAUACCACCCAAUCCUAUGGCUAAAAUAGUGAGUUGGGUGCUCUUCAGCACUGUCUUUAACCUGCCAGAACAGGGGAGACUGAGAUGAGCUCUUAGGCAGAAGCUCUUCCUGUGAGGGUGCUGAGGCGCUGGCACAGGGUGCCCAGAGAAGCUGUGGCUGCCCCAUCCCUGGCAGUGUUCAAGGCCAGGUUGGACACAGGGGCUUGGAGCACCCUGCUCUAGUGGAAGGUGUCCCUGCCCGUGGUAGGGGAUUGGAACUGGAUGAGCUUUAAGGUCACUUUAAGCCAACCCAGUCUGGGAUGCUAUGAAAGUGCUGGGAAACCAACCAGACCCUCUGCACAUGCCGGUGGGCCUGGUGCCAGUGUGAAGUAUGAAAUCAGUGCAACUCAACAGGGCCAGUUCAGCAGAGGGCCUGGGCUGCUGCGCGUUGUAGCCUUCUUGACAUCACCUGGUUCUAAGCCAGCUCUGAUGAUGGAUGUUUUUGCCUCUAGGUUUUGUUGGGGGGAACACCAAGCCCUCGUCAUGUUUGCUGUCUGUACAGUGCUAUUUCCAGACUAAAGAAAAAGAGUUAGAUUACAUUUUAGCAGAACAAUACUGACAACAGCAAAGGUCGGGCAACUUUUAAGUAAGGUCACCCUAUCGAUUGCAGCAGUGAAAGGACAGACAUCAAAUGCUUUGCCAUGAAAGGCUGAAAAGAAGUAAAUUCGGCAUGAUAUAUUGAAACCCAAGCCUCUUUCAUAUGUUGCAGAGCCUCUGACAUAGCAGGUUUACUGUUCAAGCUGAGAUGGGUUGCCUUGCCAACAUACAUUCUGAGUUACCCAAGCAGAUUUAAUGUUUUUGCAGCAGUGACUUUUCCCUUAUUUUUUGGGAAGGAAUGGACACUUUUCCUUUUCUUUGCAUAAAAUUGUUGCAGAAGGUUUCAAACCUACCGAGGAAAUGACCUUAAUCCAUUUAGUUCCAGCCAUGAGUAUGAAAACUCUCAUCUGUUUCUUGCUUUCUCUGAGCAUUGUCUCGCUCGCAUUGAGCAGAGUGACCCAGUCACAGCUUGAUGGAAAAGUGCAUUCUGUUUGGUGUUGGUUUGUUGUGGUUUAUUUAACCCACUCCAGUGGCAGCUAUGUUUUGUGCAGGGGGGUUGAUGUGACUGACAGGGGUUUGAGUUUCUAAGCUCCAGGGUCUCAAAAAUGCAUGAAAAGAGAAUGACACAUGCAGAAAAACAUUAAUCUUUGGAAAACAAGCACCAAAACGUAACAAUUCUGUAGAAGCCUGACAGAGCUGCAUUCAUUCCCUCCUCCCCCUCCUCCUUCUUCCUCUUUUUAAUAAGUCAGUGUUUCUGGGCCACCUACAGGCACAUUUAUGGCUUCGGCAGCAGGGAAUCAGGAUGCACAAUAAGCCAAAGUCACAGUCAUCGUGCAUUAGGGUGGGUCUAUCUGCGUCUCAUAGAAUCAUGGAAUGUUUUGUGUUGAAGGGACCUUAAAGCUCAUCCUUUUCCAAGCCCCUUAUCCUGUUGCUACAGGCCCUG